UCUCACACUGGAUCUACUGCAAAGGCCUUGAUCGCAAGCUGUUAAAAGCACUAACUAUAAUCGAUCUUCGAAUUGAUUUUGCAAACCAUUUGUCAUGCGCAAGUGAUUAUUAAAUUAAGCCCAUUUUACAAUUUGCAACAGAAGCAUCUACGUUCACAUGAAACUAGCUACCUAUAAUUCCUAUAGUCUAUGCUGCAUUUAAGAUCUUAUUAAAUAACACAAGAUAUACAAUUUAACGCUGAUCUAUUAAUAACCAUCGUCAAUAUAUACCUAUGCAGAUCCGUGAUCAUCCACACAGAUUUCUUACAGGUUUCGUAAUUAUUUACCCGAUAUACACUACAUCCAGCCUAUAAUUAUAUUGUACAGUUCGCAAAGUUCAAAAGUAUUAAAUGUAUAUGAAUUCGAGGCUGAUAGCUACACUAUCAAUCUCAGUACGCUCUCAUAACCAUGUUAUAUACACUUUCAGAAGACCAUACAGUUCCUUCCAUGUUCAAACCUCUGAUAAAGAAACCAGCAGCGGCCAUGUCAGUACACACAACAUUGUCCCCAGUGUUUUGAGUUCCGUUCACUACUCUCAACUUUCCUGUUGUUGGGUCAAAUGUUAACUUCUGCCGCCCCGUGUCUCUUCCUAAAGCAACGUUGGCCAAAUGACUUUGAACAUCUUUGCUACCCGACAUCGUCUGCGUUUAAAGUGCUUCGACGUUCACUGAUUUGGAUUCUUCUCAAACUGGACAGACUUGAGACAGUUUCAGCGUAAUACAACCUUUUAGAAUCGGGACGCAAUACACAAGUGCCUUUUCGUGGAUUUUGAGUGAAGUUCUUAGUAACUGAAAAAACUGUGUGCAGUUUCACUUUUACAAUCUUACAUGACAUUAUAAUUCG